rnacentral:tRNA from 1 species
AAUAAAGUGUCUGAAAAAGAAUUAUUAUGAUAUAAUAAAUUAUGCAAAUUAAAAUGCCUUUAUUU